AAAUAAUGUAAUACACGAUUUUGGCCCGGGCAAAAGGCCCAAAAUACAAAUGGGCCGAUGUGGCCAAACCAAACUACAGAGGUCCAAAACCAAUGGCCCAAAAUCAUCAGAAACCCUAGGGUUUCUAAUCUUCAGCCGCCACAACCACCAAGCAUCCGUACCACCUCGCACGAGCCUCGUACCUGCAAAGCAAAGAAGAAACAAAGCAAUAUAUGGCAAGAAAAUAUUGAAAUCGAAUCAAGCAGAUAUAGAAAGAUUUCUUUUUACUUUUUCUUGUUUCAUGAUUGCUAUAAAAGCAAUCUCAAUACACUGUAAAAGGGGGGGCAAAAACAUUGUAUUGAAAAAUUAAAAACGAAAAUACAAGAGAGAAAAAGACUACUGAGAAUUCAGAAAAUAAAAGGUGAAACACCAUUGUUAACGAUUUUUAUUUUUUUUCUUUGCUUAUUCUCUUUUCGGUUUUUUUUUCUUUUUUUGGUUAAUAUCUACUAGUUAUUUAAGAAAAGAAACAAAAGGCUAAAGUUUACCUUAUCGACGCCGUCGAACCCUCGUCGCUUCGUCGCAG
rnacentral:lncRNA from 1 species